UACAGAGGUCCCAAGCGUUGUUCGGAUUCACUGGGCGUAAAGGGUGCGUAGGCGGUCUGACAAGUCUGAUGUGAAAUCUAUGGGCUCAACCCAUAGUCUGCAUCGGAAACUGUUUAGCUUGAGGACGAGAGAGGUGAGUGGAAUUCCCAGUGUAGAGGUGAAAUUCGUAGAUAUUGGGAAGAACACCGGUGGCGAAGGCGGCUCACUGGCUCGUUUCUGACGCUCAGGCGCGACAGCGUGGGGACUCAAACAGG
rnacentral:rRNA from 1 species